UACGGAGGGGACUAGCGUUGUUCGGAAUUACUGGGCGUAAAGCGCACGUAGGCGGAUUUGUAAGUCAGGGGUGAAAUCCCGGGGCUCAACCUCGGAACUGCCUUUGAUACUGCAAAUCUCGAGUCCGGAAGAGGUGAGUGGAAUUCCUAGUGUAGAGGUGAAAUUCGUAGAUAUUAGGAGGAACACCAGUGGCGAAGGCGGCUCACUGGUCCAUUACUGACGCUGAGGUGCGAAAGCGUGGGGAGCAAACAGG
rnacentral:rRNA from 1 species